GAGGGCGGAGCGGGGCGGGGAGCGGAGCCCGGGGCGGCCGCGGCUGAGGCGGAAAAUCCGGCCCUGAACUCCUGCCGGGUUUAUGGGGACAGUGUUUUACACCCAGGAAGAUGAAGGCAGAUGGCCUUGGAUGUGACACUUCAUGGAAAUAAGAGGCAAAAAAUAUUCCAGGGUAUGAAAUCUCCCCGUAUUUUCAGCUGGAGAAAUAUCCUUCUUCACCCUGUCCUAAGGAGGUGGGAAACAGCAAAUUUUAUCUUCCUCCUUUGUGCAUGCAAACUGCAGAGUUCCUCGUGAGUCCUCUCUUCUUGCAGAAUUUCAAUAACCCGGUGAGAAAACAUCUGAAAAUGCAUUAAAGUUCCAUGAGGCAGCUUUAUCAAAUCUGCAUUCCCAGGGAUGGAUAUCCAUGUGUAUGGAAACAUCCAGCUCCUCACUGGACACUGCAUUUCUAAAUCCCAUCUUCCCCAACAGCCUUAAAUCUUUUGUGUGUGAAUAAAUCAGUGCUGCUUCACACCAGCAGCCUGGGAAAAGCCCAGCUCUUGCUGCUGCCAGGGACAUCCAGAGGGGUUGGUUUCUAGCUCAGUUUGGGUUCUUGUCUGCAGGUUUGUAUCAGUUCUUUUUACAGAUUUAUUGUACAGAGUUAUUGUGGGUGCUUUAAAUAGCUGGAUGUUGAAGAACAGUGGUUUUUCCUUGUUUUUCCAAAGAAUAUUACAGCCUGAACAUGACAUUAAUUUGUGGGAAAAAGGGGAAUCAGAAACCUGUCUAGUGAAGGCUUGAGAUUCCUUCAUUUUCUUCUCUCCUUUUAUUAUUUUUGCCUAAUGAUUUCCCUGUGGCCCAUCCUGCUGAAUUCCCAGUGUAUUGCAGUGGGAAGAGCUUCCAAGGGGAUCACCAAAGGCAUCCCAUGCUCCUGGCAGAUCAGUACUGGACUUACUAAUCAGUUUGCUUUGGUAUGAGGUUGACUCUUUUGGGAAUCUUUCAGGAUUGGCUUCAAACCAAUGAGUUAUCUUUAAUUUAAAAAUGGCAGCUUUUCAUACUGACUCUGUGCUGAGCCUAAAAACACAGAAUUUAUUUGUUCCCUAGCCAAUUUCCUGAAGCACUGAAGGGCCUUACACCUGCUGUGGGCCAUAUCAGCAAGGGAUUUUCUGUUUUCCUUUCCAGUCCUUUGCUGGUGGAAUAUUAUUUCUACUGGAGAACUUGGACUGAUUUUAUGGUUUAGAGGACUUUUAUUAUCUCUCCUGAGCUUAAGCUCAUUUCUGAGCAAUCUCAUGGUUCUGGAGGCAGAAACAUCAAUGCUGCUCUGAGCAUUUCCCCUCUGGGAAGGAGGUGACUUGUUUUGAGUGAUUAUAUUUUUUGGGGAAGAACUUCUCCCUUCGUUUUCUGGGACUGUUUGAUAUCUCAGAAAAUAAACAUUAAUUUGAAGUUUGGCAACCAGUUUGUGCCACUUUGGUGUGUAGAUAUUUGAGGACUUCAGUGUCCUAAUCUGAGGCAGAUCCCCAAUAAAUGUAGCCCCUAUAAUCUUAAAUAGUUGGUGUUAUUUCUGGAGUAGGCAAAUUCCUUGCUGAUUUCUGGAACAUUCCUCAGGUCUCUGUGCUGAGUAAUGCUGCAGCUACUGAGUAAACCUGUCCUGCCCUCUGGUUAUAAACAAAGCAAUGGUAAAAUUGGUAACUCUCAACUCCCAUUAAUAGAAUGGCCCUCAGGUGUCAAUUUUGGCCCCAAAUUAUUUCAGGCUUUUGAGAGUUUCUAUUAGACUUGGGAGCAUGCAGAUGCUUAAAAUGGCCUUAGAACCCAAUUAAGGCUACAAAUGGGAAGACAAUUUGUACUGACUCAUAUAAUUUUGAAGAACAUUUAAAACACUGAUUACUCUCCAAAGACAGGGAAAAUAAGGGUGAGUGCUGGGAAAUCAAAGGCAUAAAGAGUAAAUGGCUCCUGUAAGGUCAGAGUGGCAGCCUGGAUUCUCACUGGGGCACUUCUUGCUGUGACAGAUGCAUGUUAUUCAUUAUUAACCUUUGAUAAUUGUCUCAUUGCUUGUGGUAUCAUUUGGAAUGAAUCACCUUUCUCAUCCUCAAUAUGAGAACCUCACAAGUCCUGUGCUUUCCCCCCAAGUUUCCUGAGCUCACUGGUGGAUAUUAAUGAAAUAACUGUGCUCCAUUUGAGAGGCUGAAGCACCACAGCAGGAGAAGGUUGAUGGGAGGAAGCUGGCAGUGAGUUUGGCAGGCAGGUGAGAUGCCAGGAGAUUCCCAGGUGUGGGGAUCAAGAGGAUUUCAGAGUGCAGAGCCUCCCAAAUGUUAUAGAUACAUAUUAAAAUAUUGGCUUUUUGCAGAUACUAAAAUAGAUUCUAUAUGUGUGAUGUUAAAGUAAUUUUGUUAUAAAGAUACAGUUGUUAUUUCUGUUGUUAAUUAAGCUUAGUGAAAUAGCUGAUAGAAGUAUGCUUGUGUUAAAAUGCCUGCUUGGAUGGGAUAACAUCCAAUGAACAAAGGAUGAGGAUCCUGCUACAGACACUCCAAUUAUCAGCACUCAGUGUCUGAAGGCAGUGUGGAUCAAGGCCCAAAACCAGGAGAUGAUAAGAAUGGAUUCAAACCACAACCAAGGAAUCUGCAUGCUCUGAAAAGGUGGAACUGAGGAGGAGCCAUGCUAAACAAUUCUUGGAAGAUGUAAAGUAGUUUGGGAAGAAAGUUUACUGUGCAUAAUUGUUUAUGAAUAUGCAAGAGUCUGAUGCAAUAGAAAUGGGAUAUAAAGGGUGUUUCCAAACUAGCAGGUGUGCUCUUGGCUGAUCCCAUAAUAACCUUUGCUCUGUGGUCCUUGUCUCCUAUGGUCCUUUAUUAAACUUUUUACAUUUUCCCAGGAGAGACCGUGUUUUUCACACAAACACUGUCAGAGACAGCCCAGGUCUCCUCGUGGGAACCACAGAGAUCCUUCCUGUCUGUCUGAGAUGCUGGAGCACAGCUGUGCUCAUGGUCCUUCCAUCUGAUAUCUCACUGGUAUCUCACUGAUCUCUGCUUGGAAAGGGAGGGAAUCAAGCCCAGGAUUUGUGUGUCUGAGACGCUCAGCUGAAGGCUCCUGCUCUGCUCGGGGCUGUGCAGGGAGAGCAGAGGCUGAUUCCCUCUGACUCCAUUCAGAGUCCUGAGCCAGAUUUCCUGAGCUCUGCCUUCCCAGCCUUCCUCUCUGAGAGGUGCCAGCCCACAUCCACAUCCACAAGUGCCACUGAGCCUUCUUGAGCUGUUUAUUGAAUUUCUGGAAGUAUCAGAAAAGCACUCGACCAACAGGCUCAGCUCAGCCCUGGUGUGUGCUCUGGAGUAAAUCACCUAUCCCAGGCCAGGAGACCAAGGCUCCAGCAGAAAAGGAGCUUGAUGAUCUGAUUCUAAUUAGUUUCUUGAUUUAAUGGCAGUAAUUUUACUUUCAUGAUGGUUGCCAUUGCCCUAGCUAGCAGGGAUAAUAGACUUGGUUUCCUCCAAGGCUCAUUUCUGAUGCAGCUUCUGUUGAAUCUUAAGCAAUAACAACCAGAAGCCCACAGUUACUUCAAAAUUAUGGGAUUUCAGUGGUUAAAAAUGUCAUGUUCUCUCACCUGAGCUGUUGACUGGGAAUUGCCAGUAUAAGAAAAUGAGCAGUCAUAAAAUUAAAAUAAUGGCUUGAGUUGACGCCAAUUCCUUCUAAGAUGAUCUUUUUGUUUCCUUGCUGAUUUAAACACCUGCAAGUUAAAGUCCUCUUGAAACCAGAAAUGGGCAAAUAAAAUUUUUAAGGAAAUUAAACAGCAUGGGAUGGGAUGUGUUUACACCAGUAGAAAACCAGAAUAACUCCACAGAAGAUAAUGAAAAACAAGGGAAACAAAUGGACUGAUCUUAAUGACCUAGUGGGUGAAAUGUCAUUAAAGUAACAUUCAGUUUUGGUUACCUGAACCAAAAGUGCUGUCAAAAAUUACACCUGAGCUGCAGAACUAUCAAAACUUGUAGCUUUAAUUAUUUUAUUUUCCUUUCUAACUUGUAAAAAUUUCACUCUCCACAGCUGGAUUAGAAGUGGAUGAGGGAUCUUCACUAUUCCCCCUCUGUGAUUUGUACAAUCCACAAAUGGAUUCAGCUGGGGAAAGUUGUGUGAAGGUUUUGCCUGGUUUGAGCUCCUUGCCAAGCUUUACUCCCUUCAGGAAGGGUAAUUCUACAUCUCCCUGCCUUUGUCCUGCAUUAAAUGGAAUUUCCCAUUAUUAUUUCUUGCUCCUAUUUACCUUUCUAAAUUCUUCAAACCAAGGUGUGCUUGCAGCUCUGAGGCCUUGAGCUCUCCAAUUCCUCAUUCACAGAACACCUGCUGACUCCUGUGAUAACUCCAAAGCCUCUGCUGGAUUGUUCCUGAAUUUUGAAAAGCAAAAUACGUUCACAGUCCUCUCUUAGUUAUGAAUAAUGAUAAUCCAGACUGUGAUCUUGCAUACUUAUUUUUGUGUUAAGGUGUAGCCAUAUGUGUAGUGCCUUGGAAUAGUUUAUUAAAGAAAAGCCAGAUUGAUUCUAUGUUGCAUUUUCUGUGAUGUUCAUUAAAUAUUUGAAGUAAAAGACUUGUAAAGAAUGUAUGAAGAUGCAUUUUGAAUGAAAAUAUAUAAAUGGAGAAAACACUC